CGACGGGUGAGUAAUGUAUGGGGAUCUGCCCGAUAGAGGGGGAUAACUACUGGAAACGGUAGCUAAUACCGCAUAACGUCGCAAGACCAAAGAGGGGGACCUUCGGGCCUCUUGCCAUCGGAUGUGCCCAGAUGGGAUUAGCUAGUAGGUGGGGUAAAGGCUCACCUAGGCGACGAUCCCUAGCUGGUCUGAGAGGAUGACCAGCCACACUGGAACUGAGACACGGUCCAGACUCCUACGGGAGGCAGCAUG
rnacentral:rRNA from 1 species